rnacentral:rRNA from 1 species
UACGGGGGGGGCAAGCGUUGUUCGGAAUUACUGGGCGUAAAGGGCUCGUAGGCGGCCAACUAAGUCGGAUGUGAAAUCCCCAGGCUUAACCUGGGAACUGCAUCCGAUACUGGCAGGCUUGAAUCCGGGAGAGGGAUGUGGAAUUCCAGGUGUAGCGGUGAAAUGCGUAGAUAUCUGGAGGAACACCGGUGGCGAAGGCGGCAUCCUGGACCGGUAUUGACGCUGAUGCGCGAAAGCCAGGGGAGCAAACGGG